rnacentral:rRNA from 1 species
AUACGGGAGGCAGCAAUUAGGAAUCUUGCACAAUGGACGAAAGUCUGAUGCAGCGACGCCGCGUGAAGGAUGAAGGCCUUCGGGUUGUAAACUUCUUUUAAGGGGGAAGAAACAAAUGACGGUACCCCUUGAAUAAGCCCCGGCUAACUACGUGCCAGCAGCCGCGGUAAUACGUAGGGGGCGAGCGUUGUCCGAAUUUACUGGGCGUAAAGCGCGCGUAGGCGGACUUUUAAGUCGGUGGUGAAAUCUCAGGGCUCAACCCUGAAACUGCCGCCGAAACUGGGAGUCUUGAGGUAUGGAGAGGGAAGUGGAAUUCCUGGUGUAGCGGUGAAAUGCGUAGAUAUCAGGAGGAACACCCGUGGCGAAGGCGGCUUCCUGGCCAUAUCCUGACGCUGAGGUGCGAAAGCUAGGGGAGCGAACGGGAUUAGAUACCCCGGUAGUCCC